UCUAGGGGAGGCAGCAGGGGGGAUUUUGGACAAUUGCGCAAAGCUUGAUCCAGCCCAUGCGCGUGUCUGAGAAGGCNUNCGGGUGUUAAAGACUUUGUANNNGGAGAAAAAGGAUAGUGUAAAUACCAUAUCUGCUGACGGGUACNUAAAAGAAUAAGCACGGGCUAACUACGUGCCAGCCAGCCGCGGUAAUACGUAGGGUGCGAGCGUUAAUCGGAAUUACUGGGCGUAAAGCGAGCGCAGACGGUUUAUUAAGCAAGAUGUGAAAUCCCCGAGCUUAACUUGGGAACUGCGUUUUGAACUGGUAAGCUAGAGUAUGUCAGAGGGGGGUAGAAUUCCACGUGUAGCAGUGAAAUGCGUAGAGAUGUGGAGGAAUACCGAUGGCGAAGGCAGCCCCCUGGGAUAAUACUGACGUUCAUGCUCGAAAGCGUGGGUAGCAAACAGGAUUAGAUACCCUGGUAGUCCACGCCCUAAACGAUGUCAAUUAGCUGUUGGGCAACAUGAUUGCUUAGUAGCGUAGCUAACGCGUGAAAAUUGACCGCCUGGGGAGUACGGUCGCAAGAUUAAAAACUCAAAGGAAUUGACGGGGACCCGCACAAGCGGUGGAUGAUGUGGAUUAAUUCGAUGCAAACGCGAAGAACCUUACCUGGUCUUGACAUGUACGGAAUCUUCCAGAGACGGAAGAGUGCCUUCGGGAGCCGUAAACACAGGUGCUGCAUGGCUGUCGUCAGCUCGUGUCGUGAGAUGUUGGGUUAAGUCCCGCAACGAGCGCAACCCUUGUCAUUAGUUGCCACCAUCCAGUUGGGCGACUCUAAUGAGACUGCCGGUGACGAAACCGGAGGAAGGUGGGGAUGACGUCGAAGUCCUCAUGGCCCUUAUGACCGAGGGCUUCACGACGUCAUACGAUGGUCGGUACGAGAGGGUAGCCGAAGCCGCGAGGUGAAGCCGAUCUCGAGAAAAACCGAAUCGUAGUUCCGGAAUUGCGCUCUGCGAACUCGAGUGCGUAAAGUCGGAAAUCGCUAGGAACGCGGGUCGGCGGACGGCGGUAAGACGUUUCCCGGGUCUUGGAGCGCCGGCCCG
rnacentral:rRNA from 1 species